AAAUACAACCUCCCCAAAAUACGACUUAAAUCCAACGGCCGGAUUCUACAUUAAUUACCCGCCAAAAAUACCACACUUCGGAAAUUCACAAACCUAUCCAAAUCUCAUCCAAAAAUUCCAAAAUUCACUUCAAUAAUAUCCCCUUAAUAUUCUACAUCAAAAACCAUAAAAUUCUCCUAACCGGCGGCGGCUCCGCCGGCAGCGGCGGCCGGAGGUCAAUUCCGGCGACCUCCAAAACCUAUGAAAUUUUAACAGCAUCUUCCUCUCAUCAAGCUCUACAACUUUCAUAACUAGCACAAACACCAAUUCCAAGCCUAACUAGGGCAAUCGACUAAAAACAUCAAAAACACCAUAAAACUUCCACCUCAAAUUUCUCCUUACCUAGCUCAAGAGGGAGUGAGUCCUUUUAGGGCAAGGUUGCUGGGUUGGAGGGCUACAAAACCAUACCAAGCUUGCCCGGAUUGGUGGCCGGAGGAGGAAGUUCCGGCGAAUGGAAGGUUUGGACAGUCGGACCUUACGGGCGGCACCGCUCACUCACGGCGGCGCUAGGGGGGCUGCUACCGGCCUAGAAUGGAAGCUGGGAGGGAGACCGACCGAACGGGACCGGUCCGGCGGCGAACGGAGGUCGGACGGCGGCGGGAGGACGGCCGGAAGUUUGCUGGGUGUAGAGAGAAGAAAAUCGGGUGGGAGGAGAAGAAAAAUCGGGAGGGAGGGAGAAGAGAAAGAAGAAGAAAUGGGUUGGGCUCGGCCCAGCCGACCCAACACCCCUUUUAACCCAUAAUUCCAAAAUUCAACACCCCGAAAAAUAAUACCCGAAUAAAAAUUACCUUUUACUAGCUAAAAUUUACUAUUUUUACCGUCAUCGUAUUUUCCUCAUACGAAUAAUCCUCCGCACAUAAUCGUCCCCGAAACCCCUCUAGGGACCAAUUAAACUAUUUACUCAAUGAUCGAGACGGUAAAAUUCUUAUUAUAAUCACGCUAGUAAAUAAGGUAAAAAUAUAAGGGUCGGGAUGUGACAAUUCUCCCCUCCUUAUAAAAAUUUCG
rnacentral:lncRNA from 1 species